GAGAGAGAAAAAAAUAAAGAAGGGAGAUUGGGUGGAGUGAGCCUCAGAUCACCACACCGUUCUGAGAAAGCUCAGUCCAAGUUAAUGGAUAAUUAUUGAAAAGCGCUUGCCAAUUAGAGACUUCCUCCGCUGGGCAAGAACAACCUUCUUUAGUACCCUGAUCAUGUCAGUCAUUUACUACCGGCACCCUGGGAGAAGUGUGGCCAUGACGCUAAUCCAACAGUGGACCUGCAGAAGCAGCGGCUGGCGAGCAUAAGUCAAUGUUUUUCACACAGGUUCUCUUGAGUGGCACUCCAUCUCCACUAGGAUGCGAUUACUGCUCCUGUAUCAACAAAGCCAAUGUCCUAAAGAUCAGAGCUUUAGACACAAAGGAAGGCCAAUGAAUAAGAAGAAAUCAGUGGGAAAGGGAUUAAGAAUAGCAGUCCCACCUUGAUGGCACUCUCAGGCAAGAGGCCCUCUCUUUCUGAUGCUGUCAGGAGCAUAGAGAGACUGGGGCAUAGGGUCAUUCAAAUGGACUGAUACCAGAAAAGGGGGAAAGAUGUGGUUUCUUCAAGGAAGUGACUCCUCAGAGCAUCCAGAAGAGAAAGACGAGAGAAGAAGGUCAGAAUCAAAGAAAUCAAAUCUGUUAUUAGGUCCAGCAGAAGAGCUCCUGACAACAGAAUCUGAUACCAAAAGAUGAGAAACUGGGUUAAUGGUGACCAGAGCAAGAAGCAAGAAACAGAAACAAGAAUGAAAUAAGAGUGUCCAGCAUUCUCAGAGAUUCCCUUUCAUAGGUGAAACUUGCUUGGUGCUUGUAUGCCUAAUUUUAAAGCCAGGGAAGCCAGUUUUCUCACAUUUAUAAUGUAAAUGUGAUAGUAUUUUUGCCUUGUGAUUAGAUUUCAGGUAAGCAUGAAAACGUAGUCAUGAAUUAGUGUCUUUCUUUUCUCCUUCCUAAUAACAUGACUUUCUCACUAUUUGUUUUACUGAAUUAAGUUUUCUAAACUUAGCAAAACCAAGAAACUUCUAGUUCAGAUUUCACUUACAUUUUCUUUUAAUACAACCAUCAGAGCAAUUUCCAAGAAGCAUAAUCUGACUUAAUGAUAUUAUAAUAGUUAGCAAAAUAUCUAGAUAUUAGGCACAGAAAACAGGCUCAUUGAAUAAACAAAUGAACUUGCAACUAUAUCAGGUUUUAAGUGACUUAAACGGUAGUCAGAGAUUUGGCUUCAUUAGGCAGAUACAGUGUUUAUGUGCUACAUAGCUCUUGCUUUUAUUUGUAAGUCUGUUGAAUCAACAAAUGUGCUGAAGAAGAGAAUAAAUAUAUUGAAAUAAAUUAAUGACUAGGGUCAAACCAUUCCAUCAUUCAAAAGCACACAAAACUAAAAUAGAUGCAAC
rnacentral:lncRNA from 10 species